UUUGUUCUUAUUAUCGAAAUUUGAACAAGCAAACGGUCUUUUGUUGGGUAUGGUUCGGUUAUUUGUCCAAUGAUUUUGGGUUAUUGUCUUAUUUGUCGAUUUU